UUUGCGCAAUUCAACCUCUCUCUGUAUUUUACAUAGGGACUAAGUGACUGAGGGGAAACAUUUUAUUGAACACGAUGCAUUGGUAAAUAGAAAAUACAUUGUAAACCAUUGAAGAGAUUCUUUCGAAUGAGUUGCGUUUUUUGGUCCAUUGCGGAACCAACUGACCGCCGGUGCGUCCCGGCUGGGAGCUCGCUCAUGAUGUGUUUCGCGCGCCAUAAGAGGCCGGAACUAGCAAACCAUGGGAAUCGCAUAAUAGUGUCACAUGAAGUUUCGAUUACAACCCAGACCAAGGGACUCACUAACCGGUCUUGUAGGGAUCAAGACACAUGGAAUACAUCAGGUUGGGUCACCACAGCAACCUUGGAUGGAGGCGAAGUAUGAGGAGAGGGCGAUCGUUCAUUAAAGUCACAGUGAAGGACUGCACAACAGAACCUCCAUUUUCCCUCAUCUGGAUAGAAUAGGAAUUACACCACCAUCUAGAUUACAUUUAACCUACUGUACACGACUGUGCAGAUUCCUUGGCUAAAGAGGAUCAUUGGAACACAAACAUGUCGCGAUGUAUCAGGUAUAAAUGCAUGUUUCAAAUAUGUUUUUCAAAAAUGUUUUUUUGAAAAGAAAGACCAUGUGAAAUAAUUUAAGAUUAAAUGAGAUCGGUAUUAGACUCGUUGCGUGUCCAUUGGUACUUUGGAAGAUGCACAGUAAAACUAUAGAGCUGUUUCUGCCGCUUACUACAGGGCAAAUGACUUAAUACAAUGUGUCGAUUUCUAUCAAUAACCAAAUUACUAAGUAUAUUUAUUCUCAUUCAAGUUUUGUAUUGUGUCUUUAUGAAAGUAUGUCUGAGGAGAUAAUCGUUUAAACGUCUGCACUUUAACGCGGAAGAGAGCACAGCAUUUCAUGUUGUUAAGUGGCAAUAUUACAUAAUGCCAACAAGUUAGUUUAACUUUUUUCCACAGCUUUUUAAAAUUCAUUUCCAUAUUAUCAAAUCAUUAUUUAUGACUAUUUGCACCGUUAUAUAUUUUGUCCAGCAGGUUUACAUUGAUACAAGCAUGGUUUGACUAAUCUUCUUUUACUUCUGGAAUAUUCAUAAACAAUGCUAAAUGUAGGCCUAUAAUUUGAUUAUAAGCAUUACGUGGAAAUUGAAUGUAAUAUAUUUGAUUUGAUUAUUUCUGUAGCCAAUAAUUAUUUAAACCUUUUAAUCGAGUCUGAGCUUCUUAAUACUUUCAAUAUUGCAUUAUGCAUGUUUAUAGCCUAAAAAAGAGACCCUCAAAAUUGACUGAAGUCUAUGUAUGGAGUCUGUGAAGUCUUUUUUUGGGGUGCAUAAAUACGAAGGACAUCCUGCUGGUAAAGUGGAUAGGUUGUGUUCAAGUGUGGCUCUGCAAAAGUCACGUGACAAAACCAAACUAAAACUAAAAGGUUCCCCAAAUGUCAGUUGUGAAAUGAAGAACAUUUCCAUUAAUUUCAUUUUCUUUUUGUAACGGUUGACAGAUAUGCUCACUUUUUAUUCAGUAGUCCUCACAUACGGGAGCCUGCUCAUUUAAAUAAAACGAACAGACUUGAAAUAGAGUAAAUUUGAGAUAACGAAUCAGCCUAAAACGUAUAUUGUCUCUCGUUUGAUUUCCAGGAGAAGAUUGAAAGAUGUGUUUCAGUCUAAUGAAUGCAUUCUUUCAAUCAAAAAUAACACAAUAAUAAAUAAAUAAAAACAACCGACACCAAGUAGUUAUGUUUUUCCAUUGAUAAUUUGAUCGAAUAGUUCAAAAGUUGGUGUUACUGGUGUUGCUCAAACAAGGACACUCUCCAGUUGUGGUUGCGGCCAAGUGUGCGCACGGGCCUGGGUCCCUACAGGUGUCCACUUCUCGUGCCAUGACACCGCUGUGGUUACACACCAUUACACAGGAGGCUAGUGUGCCCUUACACCAGUUUGGCACACACUUCACCACCGCAAAACUGUAUGUCCAUUUUUUAAACUUCAACUGAACAUGGUGUGUGAGGGGUGUAGGCAGACUGGUGGUUUCGUCACUGUACGUGCAGGGCUUAUGAGUCGUGUUCAUGUGAAGGCCUUAUGCAUUAAACGCCGUGCACACAGCAGGCUUAAACGUAUCUAUAGAUGAAGCGGAGCUCGUGUAAUUUGUUUAGGUCCACGUUAUCCAGAAAUUACUUUUGUCACCUCAGUUGCGUCUCGUGAAGACGCCAGUAAUUGUAUUUCACACAUGUUACUGUAGGUCUUUAUACUAGGCUAUACCAUUCAUCUUAAAAGCCCAGUGCAGUCAAAACUGGGAUUUUUCUGUGUUUUA